rnacentral:rRNA from 1 species
AGUGAACGCUGGCGGUAGGCCUAACACAUGCAAGUCGAACGGCAGCACAGUAAGAGCUUGCUCUUACGGGUGGCGAGUGGCGGACGGGGGAGGAAUACAUCGGAAUCUACUUUUUCGUGGGGGAUAACGUAGGGAAACUUACGCUAAUACCGCAUACGACCUACGGGUGAAAGCAGGGGAUCUUCGGACCUUGCGCGAUUGAAUGAGCCGAUGUCGGGUUAGCUAGUUGGCGGGGUAAAGGCCCACCAAGGCGACGAUCCGUAGCUGGUCUGAGAGGAGGAUCAGCCACACUGGAACUGAGACACGGUCCAGACUCCUACGGGAGGCAGCAGUGGGGAAUAUGGGACAAUGGGCGCAAGCCUGAUCCAGCCAUACCGCGUGGGUGAAGAAGGCCUUCGGGUGGUAAAGCCCUUUUGUUGGGAAAGAAAAGCAGCAGGUUAAGACCCCGCUGUUCUGACGGUACCCAAAGAAUAAACACCGGCUAACUUCGU